rnacentral:piRNA from 1 species
UCAAAUGUAUUUGAUGGGUUGAGUUCAAGC